GAUGAACGCUGGCGGCGUGCCUAAUACAUGCAAGUCGAGCGAACGGACGAGAAGCUUGCUUCUCUGAUGUUAGCGGCGGACGGGUGAGUAACACGUGGAUAACCUACCUAUAAGACUGGGAUAACUUCGGGAAACCGGAGCUAAUACCGGAUAAUCUCUUGAACCGCAUGGUUCAAAAGUGAAAGACGGCCUUGCUGUCACUUAUAGAUGGAUCCGCGCUGCAUUAGCUAGUUGGUAAGGUAACGGCUUACCAAGGCAACGAUGCAUAGCCGACCUGAGAGCGUGAUCGGCCACACUGGAACUGAGACACGGUCCAGACUCCUACGAGAGGCAGCAGUAGGGAAUCUUCCGCAGUGGGCGAAAGCCUGACGGAGCAACGCCACGUGAGUGAUGAAGGUCUUCGGAUCGUAAAACUCUGUUAUUAGUGAAGAACAUAUGUGUAAGUAACUGUGCACAUCUUGACGGUACCUAAUCAGAAAGCCACGGCUAACUACGUG
rnacentral:rRNA from 1 species